rnacentral:rRNA from 1 species
CAAAUGGAGAGUUUGAUCCUGGCUCAGGAUGAACGCUGGCGGCAUGCCUAAUACAUGCAAGUCGAACGGAUAUCUUCGGAUAUGAGUGGCGAACGGGUGAGUAACACGUAGGGAACCUGCCUGCAUGAGCGGGAGAACUUCUGGAAACGGAAGCUGAUACCGGAUGAGCAAAGAGGAGGCAUCUUCUUUUUGGAAAAGGGGACAAGAGUCCCGCAUGCAGAUGGACCUGCGGUGCAUUAGCUGGUUGGAGAGGUAACGGCUCACCAAGGCGACGAUGCAUAGCCGGCCUGAGAGGGCGGACGGCCACACUGGGACUGAGACACGGCCCAGACUCCUGCGGGAGGCAGCAGUAGGGAAUUUUCGUCAAUGGGGGGAACCCUGAACGAGCAAUGCCGCGUGAGCGAGGAAGGUCUUCGGAUCGUAAAGCUCUGUUGCCGGGGACAAAAGGCAGAAAGAGUGGAAAGCUUUCUGAGUGAUGGUACCCGGCGAGGAAGUCACGGCUAACUACGUGCCAGCAGCCGCGGUAAUACGUAGGUGGCGAGCGUUAUCCGGAAUGAUUGGGCGUAAAGGGUGCGCAGGCGGCCGGGCAAGUCCGCAGUAAAAACUGGAGGCUCAACCUUCAGGGGCUGCGGAAACUGUCCGGCUGGAGAGCAGGAGAGGACGGUGGAACUCCAUGUGUAGCGGUAAAAUGCGUAGAUAUAUGGAAGAACACCGGUGGCGAAGGCGGCCGUCUGGCCUGCAUCUGACGCUGAGGCACGAAAGCGUGGGGAGCAAAUAGGAUUAGAUACCCUAGUAGUCCACGCUGUAAACGAUGAGGACCAAGUGUUGGAGGUAAAACUUCAGUGCUGCAGUCAACGCAGUGAGUCCUCCGCCUGGGGAGUAUGCACGCAAGUGUGAAACUCAAAGGAAUUGACGGGGGCCCGCACAAGCGGUGGAGUAUGUGGUUUAAUUCGAAGCAACGCGAAGAACCUUACCAGGCCUUGACAUAGGAUGCGAAGGGAUAGAGAUAUGCCGGAGGGUAUCAUCCAUACAGGUGGUGCAUGGUUGUCGUCAGCUCGUGUCGUGAGAUGUUCAGUUAAGUCUGGCAACGAGCGCAACCCUCGUGAUAUGUUACCAGCAGAAGAUGGGGACUCAUAUCAGACUGCCGGUGAGAAACCGGAGGAAGGCGGGGAUGACGUCAAAUCAUCAUGCCCCUUAUGGCCUGGGCUACACACGUACUACAAUGGCGGCCACAGAGGGCAGCGACUCUGCAAGGAGGAGCGAAUCCCAAAAAAGCCGUCCCAGUUCGGAUCGGAGUCUGCAACCCGACUCCGUGAAGAUGGAAUCGCUAGUAAUCGCGGAUCAGCAUGCCGCGGUGAAUACGUUCUCGGGCCUUGUACACACCGCCCGUCAAACCAUGGGAGUGGGCAAUGCCCGAAGCCGGUGGCGCAACCCGAAAGGGAGCGAGCCGUCGAAGGCAGGGCCGAUGACUGGGGUUAAGUCGUAACAAGGUAUCCCUACGGGAACGUGGGGAUGGAUCACCUCCUUUCUAAGGAG